CACGUAGGAGGCGAGCGUUGUCCGGAAUCAUUGGGCGUAAAGAGCGCGCAGGCGGCUUGGCAAGUCGGGUGUGAAAUCCCGGGGCUCAACCCCGGGACUGCAUUCGAUACUGUCAGGCUAGAGGUAGGUAGGGGAGAUCGGAAUUCCUGGUGUAGCGGUGAAAUGCGCAGAUAUCAGGAGGAACACCGGUGGCGAAGACGGAUCUCUGGGCCUUACCUGACGCUCAGGCGCGAAAGCUAGGGGAGCGAACAGG
rnacentral:rRNA from 1 species